rnacentral:rRNA from 1 species
UACAGAGGGUGCGAGCGUUAAUCGGAAUUACUGGGCGUAAAGGGCGCGUAGGUGGUUUUGUAAGUGCAUUGUGAAAUACCCGGGCUUAACCUGGGGAGGUCAAUGCAAACUGUGAGACUAGAGUAUGGUAGAGGGUGGCGGAAUUUCCGGUGUAGCGGUGAAAUGCGUAGAGAUCGGAAGGAACAUCAGUGGCGAAGGCGACCACCUGGACUGAUACUGACACUGAGGUGCGAAAGCGUGGGGAGCAAACGGG